UUUGGCCCCUAGCUAAUGCUAUACUAAAUCAGGACGAUACAGAAAAGAUUAGCAUGGCCCUUGCACGAGAAUGCCACACAAACUCGUGAAGCGUUCAAUAUUUUG